AAAAAAAAGGGAGAAUCAAACGGUCGUUCUAAAGCGCGGGCAGCCAAAAAUUGGGUUCUAAAACCCUAAUUCUCCUUUUUAUUCCAACAGAAUCUCUAAAAACCCGUUUUAGUAUUUGAACUCUGCUACUUGGAGAUUUGUUUGGAUCAUCCAUGGCGAACCUUCCGAUCAUUCAGUUCGAAGAUCAAAUCAUAGAGACGGUGGAGCGGAACCCAGUGGUGGUGAUAAUCGGAGAGACUGGCUCGGGAAAGAGCACCCAGCUCUCUCAGAUGCUACACCGGAGAGGCUACACCAAGUCUGGAAUCGUCGGCGUCACUCAGCCUCGCCGAGUUGCCGCAGUCUCCGUGGCUAGGCGGGUUGCCCAGGAGCUUGGUGUUCCGCUUGGGGAUGAAGUGGGAUAUGCUAUCCGAUUUGAAGAUAGAACCUCAGAGAGGACUCGGAUCAAAUAUCUUACUGAUGGAGUCCUACUUCGCGAGAGCCUAUCUAACCCUGAGCUUAAUCAGUAUUCGGUAAUCAUAUUGGAUGAAGCUCAUGAGAGGAGUCUGAACACGGAUAUAUUGCUGGGACUAAUGAAACGCUUGGUUGGAGUGCGUGCCUCCAAUUUAAAGGUUCUUAUCACUUCAGCAACUCUUGAUGGUGAAAAAGUAUCAAAAUUCUUUUCAAAUUGCCCCAUACUAACUGUCCCAGGGAAGUUAUACCCUGUUGAGAUAUUGUACAGCAACGAGCGCCCUAAAAGCUAUCUUGAGUCGUCUUUAAAAACAGCUCUUGACAUACACGUUCGGCAACCAGAGGGUGACGUCCUAAUAUUCAUGACUGGACAGGAUGACAUAGAGAAGUUGGUAUCAAAGUUGGAGGAUCGAGUUCAAAGUCUAGAUGAGGGUUCCUGUAUGGAUGCCAUCAUCCUUCCCCUUCAUGGUUCUUUGCCACCUGAAAUGCAGGUGCGUGUAUUUAGCCCUCCACCUCCGAAUUGCCGACGAUUUAUAGUUGCCACAAAUAUUGCUGAAACUUCGUUGACGGUCGAUGGUGUUGUGUAUGUUAUUGACUCUGGUUAUGUCAAGCAACGGCAGUACAACCCAUCAACUGGCAUGUAUUCCCUCGAUGUUGUUCAAAUUAGCAAAGUGCAAGCUAAUCAACGGGCAGGCCGAGCGGGAAGAACUCGCCCUGGGAAGUGCUAUCGGUUAUACCCUUCCACAGUUUAUCAUGAUGAAUUUCUGGAUGUAACAGUUCCUGAAAUACAGCGAUCUUCCCUCACUGGGAGUGUUCUCUAUUUGAAAUCACUGGACCUCUCUGAUAUGGAUAUUCUCAACUUUGAUUUUCUUGAUCCGCCUUCAUUUGAGUCUUUAGAAGAUGCUUUGAAGCAGUUAUAUCUCAUUGAUGCUAUUGAUGAAAAUGGCUCUAUCACAAGUGUUGGACGAACAAUGGCUGAGCUCCCACUAGAACCUUCACUCUCCAGAACCUUAAUGGAGGCAAAUAAGUGUGGUUGCUUAUUCCAGGCUUUGAGUGUUGCUGCCAUGUUAUCAGCGGAAACCUCAUUGCUUCCCGGUCGAAGCAAGAAUACUGAAAAAAAGAGGAAACACACUUCCUCGAACCUUCCUGAUGGGUCUGGCUGGGGUGAUCACAUCCAACUGCUUCAGAUCUAUGAGCAUUGGGAUAGAACUAAUUAUAAUAUUGGUUGGUGUAAAGACAAUGACUUGCAGGUGCGGGGGAUGUUGUUUGUCAAAGAUGUUCGGAAACAAUUAUCUCAGAUAAUGCAGAAAAUAACAAAGGGAUCCCUAGAUGUACAGGGAAAUGGAAGGUGGAAAGAGAGUGAGCUUGAUUACCGGAAUUUGAGGAAAGCUUUGUGCAUAGGUUUUGCAAAUCAGCUGGCUGAGAGAAUGAUUCAUCACAAUGGCUAUCGAACUCUAGGUUUUAAGCCCCAAGUAGUUCAGGUGCAUCCGUCUUCAGUGCUGAAACCAGAUGCAGAGGGAAAGUUCCCAGAGUAUGUUGUGUACCAUGAACUCAUUGCAACCUCACGCCCAUACUUACGCAAUGUAUGUGCUGUAGAGAUGAAUUGGGUCAUGCCCAUUCUAAACAAGGUUAAGAAAAUAAAUAUAAACAAACUGAGUGGCGGGACUGGUCCUAUUAGAGAAGAAACUGACGAAAAACUCUCAGACUUGCCGAAGAAAGAGAUUAACAUUGAUGGGGUCCCUGGUGACCAUGAAAAUAGAAUUCAGGCAGCUAGAGAACGUUUUCUUUCUCGUAAGGCAAAUAAAUGAGCUUCAUUUUUGCUCUUGAUGAUCUGAAAGUAAGUGAGCCUAGUUAGUAGUUGGUAUGAUGAUAGAACGAUGGGAUCAGGGGCCAUGGCUUCUGAAUUAAGGAUUCCUUUAUAGGGGACAAGUUUGGCGGUAAAGACUUCUAAAAAGGAGGGAUAUCCUGGAUAUGCAUUUGUGACGUGUAUGCCUUGAAGGGUGUGAUCCAGCACAGCUACAGUUUUCACUAGUUUUGUGCUGAAAUAAAGUUGUCUUUUACUCCAAGGAGCAUAUUUACUUUGGUGUCCUUGCAGGCUUGGCCUAUUCUGUACAACUGUUAAGGUAUGCUAGCAGUUCCCCGUUUUCUUUCCCCUAUUUGGCUGGAAGGGCAGGUUCCUGACUUGCACACUUCA